rnacentral:rRNA from 1 species
UGCAAGUUCGAGUGCGCGUUUCGUAGCAAUACGAGAUGGCGCACGGCGCACGGGUGCGUAACACGUGGGUGACCUGCCCUUUGGUGGGGAAUAACUCCGCGAAAGCGGAGCUAAUUCCGCAUAAGAUCCGCAAGGAUGAAAGCCGCAAGGCGCCGAUGGAGGGGCCCGCGCACGAUUAGCUAGUUGGUAGGGUAACGGCCUACCAAGGCUUUGAUCGUUAGCUGGUCUGAGAGGAUGGCCAGCCACACUGGAACUGAGACACGGUCCAGACUCCUACGGGAGGCAGCAGUGGGGAAUCUUGCACAAUGGGCGAAAGCCUGAUGCAGCGACGCCGCGUGGGGGAUGAAGCAUUUCGGUGUGUAAACCCCUUUCGAUCCGGACGAAUGCCCGCAAGGGAUUGACGGUACGGAUAUAAGAAGCCCCGGCUAACUACGUGCCAGCAGCCGCGGUAAGACGUAGGGGGCCAGCGUUGUUCGGAAUUACUGGGUGUAAAGGGUUCGUAGGCGGUGCGGCAAGUUGGGAGUGAAAUCUCUGGGCUCAACCCAGAGGCUGCUUCCAAAACUGCUGUGCUUGAGUGUGGGAGAGGCGCGUGGAAUUGCAGGUGUAGCGGUGAAAUGCGUAGAUAUCUGCAGGAACACCCGUGGCGAAAGCGGCGCGCUGGACCACUACUGACGCUGAGGAACGAAAGCUAGGGGAGCAAACAGGAUUAGAUACCCUGGUAGUCCUAGCCCUAAACGAUCAGGAACUUGGGGUGCCACCCGUUCGGGUGUCGUCCCGGAGCUAACGCGUUAAGUCCUGCACCUGGGGGAGUACGGUCGCAAGACUGAAACUCAAAGGAAUUGACGGGGGCCCGCACA